UCAAAGGCUCUUUUAAGAGCCACGUAUGUUUCCUGAAAAGAGCUGU
rfam:Myotis brandtii contig187933, whole genome shotgun sequence.